rnacentral:ncRNA from 2 species
AACUGAGAUAGAGGCGCGAAACUUAUUAGUAGUAUUAUGGAGGUAGCUCGAUGAAGUAAUAUGAAAGGAAAUUUCGCCGAAGUAAAUAGUUAAUAGCUUUAACACUAUUUACUGGGCUUAUAUAAAAUAUAUAUAAGACUGUCACAUUUUGUGGAGUGCUAUUUUCAAU